rnacentral:rRNA from 1 species
UGGGGAAUUUUGGACAAUGGGCGAAAGCCUGAUCCAGCAAUGCCGCGUGUGUGAAGAAGGCCUUCGGGUUGUAAAGCACUUUUGUCCGGAAAGAAAUGGCUCUGGUUAAUACCUGGGGUCGAUGACGGUACCGGAAGAAUAAGGACCGGCUAACUACGUGCCAGCAGCCGCGGUAAUACGUAGGGUCCAAGCGUUAAUCGGAAUUACUGGGCGUAAAGCGUGCGCAGGCGGUUGUGCAAGACCGAUGUGAAAUCCCCGAGCUUAACUUGGGAAUUGCAUUGGUGACUGCACGGCUAGAGUGUGUCAGAGGGGGGUAGAAUUCCACGUAUAGCAGUGAAAUGCGUAGAGAUGUGGAGGAAUACCGAUGGCGAAGGCAGCCCCCUGGGAUAACACUGACGCUCAUGCACGAAAGCGUGGGGAGCAAACAGG